rnacentral:lncRNA from 1 species
UGUCAAUUGGCUUCAUAUCUACCACUUUUGCCUCAAAUGCCUAAUUUUCAUAAUAUUACUUAAUAAAACAUUUGAAUACAUUAUUAAUGCUCACUAGUGGAAAGAAAUGGAAUUAGAAAUUGCUAAAGUGAAAUCAGUAAUUCCCCGCUAAACAAUUAGGUAUUUUAGAUAUUGAAGAGAUUUUUGAAUCAUAAAUUUGUUGGCUUUUCUCUGUUAAGUAUAUUCUACUUUUGAUAAUUAACUUUUUAUGUUAAGAAAAUGUCUAGAAACAGAAAUAUUUGAUUGAAGAAACUAAUUAUAAUGUUAUACUGUUCCUUGAAUAGAAUUUAUCUUCUAUGAAAACGAAGGUAGAUUUCACAUCCCCUUCUUUCACUUUUCAUAUUUCCCAACUGCAAGCAGACAAUUCAUAUAUUGAAGGUAAUUAUUUCCUUUGUAGGCUUCUUUCUGUAACAACUUGGAAAUGAGUACUUAUUUAUAUUUUGGGUUAUCCAACAUACGAUGCUAUCAAGAUGUGAGUUAAAUUAUUUAGUUACUGGAAGAGAGAGAGUGUGUGUGUGUGUGUGUGUGUGUGUUUGAGGUAGCAGGGAGGUGGGGAUAAGGGAGCUAUUUGUCUAGCCUUGCAUUUGUUUUGUGAAACAGACAACCAGAGAUGACUAUUUUUUAAAUCACAGCUUGUAGUGAGCUUAAAUUAUGUAAAAAG